AGAGAGAGGUCGGAUCUUGGGCUGUGUCCCUGGUGCCCUGUGCUCCCGGGUCUGUGCUGUUGGAUUGGCUCUCCCAGCCAGCCGGGCAGCCCCCU
rnacentral:pre_miRNA from 1 species